GUCCCUGCUGCGCAAUGGAUAGCGCGUUGGUUUUUUAAUCCGAAGGUCGUGGGUUCGGAUCCCACCUGGGAUG
rnacentral:tRNA from 1 species